AAAAGCCCAUUGGUCGCCCAAACCCCAUAGCCGCACGCCCCCGCCUCCUUCCUCCCUCACUCGUCUCAGCCACACGAACCCUAGCCGCUGUCCCACCCACAUCCGUCCUCCAUCCCUGGUACGAGCUCUUCCUCCUCUGUCUAUGUCUGCCCUGAGCUCUUCCUCCUCUGUCCUCACAUGCUCCACCCCGAGCCCUGCCUCUUCCACCCCACCCGGACUUCGCCCCGUCCGUUCGCGCACCAGUUCAAAGGGCAGGGCCAGAGAGCCAUGGCGAGUCCUCGAGAGAGGAGAGGAAGGAAAAGGCGGAGCAGAGGAAAUCAAGAAGGCCAGGGGGCAAUGGAGGGAGCACACGACCGAACGAACCCUAGCCGGCUAGCCCCCAACCCGCAGCUGCCACAAUCCUCCCUCCUCACUUCCUCAUCAACACAGGCGCUCGCGCCCCUCCCCUCUCCCUCCUUCCCGCAGCCCCCGCAUUUGACGAGAUCCACCGCCUCCCCGAGGUCCUUAUCCACCCAGGUCGCGAGGAAGCCGCGGAAGGAGGAAAUCAGCUGGGCGUCACCAGCCGGAGAAGGAGGAGAGGCGUGGAUGCCAGCCAAGGAGGCAGAUUGGCUUGCCUCUACUGCACCAUGAGCGUAGCCGCUGCCUCUGCACCCACCUUGCUCGGCCAUCAUGGGAGGAUGCUCACCGUCAAAGAGCAGCCGCAGGUGCCACACCAUUACAAGAGCUGCAGCGAGUAGGAGGUGAUGAUGCGUCGCCCCAUUGACAAGAGCAGGGUGGCGGAUUGGAUCGAGGGUGCCUGCAUGGCCACGCCACCGCUGCCGCCUGGAGUCGCCUUGGGCGCCGCCUCGAGUGACCUCCAUCGCCGCCCCGAGUCAACUCCACCAUUACCGCCAGGAAUCCCAUCCCCGGCGAGGGAGUGAGUCAAGUGACAUACAGACACAAGAAAUAUUCAGUUAUGAGGAUUGAAGAAAUUAAUGAUCAUUCAGUCAUUGAGGAUUUGAGAAGAGGCAUCAAUGCUCCAGUAGAGGUGUCAUUGAAGUUGUGGCUGUCAAUAGUCCUUUUAUUGAUGCUAAGUACAUGGUGCAAUGACAGAAAUCAUCCAGUGGGAUGUUCUACUGCAUCGGAAUUUGACAAAUCUAAAUCUGCCAUUAUAUUCUUCCCUUCACCUCUCAAGUUAACACCCCUCCUCCCAUUUAUUGGACCAUAUGUUCAAGUAUGAAUCCACUCAUGGCCCCUUUAAAGGAUCCAUUAAGAUCGUGGAUGAUUCAGUAUUGGAGAUUAAUGCGAAAAGAUCACAACCACGGGUGAAAGAGGGAAAGGAGAAGUCUGAAUGCGCCAACAAGUAGCGACCAAUGAGCUGUCGUCUAUGGAUUGGCUAAGGGAGGAGUUGUCUUGUGCUGCAAGGGCAUCUUGUAGAUCGAUUUCCUUGGUUGGAUGUGUCUCAGAUUCUAAUUAGUAUUUAAUUUCCUUAGUUUUAACUUAUAACCGGACAAAAAUUGUUAUUGCACCUGAAUAUUUGAUUAUGAAUCUAAGUUAUGGGAAAUAGGUGGAGUGAGAGGAAAUGAGGCGUUGUUCGAUGGGGCCUUGCCACGGUUGCCUUGAGUUUUCGCAUCGAAGCACCACUUUGUAUGGCUAGGCUUCCAUGGCUACAUCGAGGGUCCCAAUCUGCAGGCGAGCUCUUCUUUUCAUCUAUAUACCACGAAGGGAAGAUCUGCCUCACUGUGCACUUUAGGCGCGCGCACACUAGCGAUGGUAUAGGAUUGGCUUCCUGGUGGAAUCAGGUGCACGUCGUCCAUGGUGGCCUAUCGUGGGUGUUGGUGGGCGGCUAGAGGCGCUGUAGCAGGCUCUAGAAUCGCUAAGGUUGCUCCUUCUCUGUUCCUUUGGUCAAUGUUUCUCCUUGUCAUUCUUUUCUAAGCACUGCACUUUUCUACCCUAUUUGUUUACUUCUUAUUGUCAUGCUAAUUCCUCCGUUCCUGAUUUUUCCAGGUGUCAUGUUUGUGUGUUUGUUUUUGUGGUGCUGCUUAUAUGUGUGACUACCGUAUGAUCGUAUAUAUAUGCUGAAAAGUAAAAUGAUUUUUCCUUGGCACGAUACAUAAUUUGUAAUGAGAUGGUAGUACAUCAGUGUAUUUACAGGAAAAAAAUUAUAGUCGUAUAUAUAUAAUUUGCAUCUAUAGUGUACAUCAGCUGAAAAGAACAUUCUUCUACUCUUUCUUGAUGUAUGCUAUCGUAUAUUGCUUCUCUACUUGCUCAAAAUCAAAUUUGCAUCUAUGAAAAGGUAAGAAAUUAAGGCGAGUGAGAUGGCAGUAGAUUGGCAUGUUUACAGAAAAAACAAAUAGCCAUGCAAGUUCGAAAGAACAUAUUUUUACUAUUUCUUGCUAUAUGCAUAUUUCCCGUCUUCUUCCUUCAGAAUCAAAUGUGCGUCUACUAAAGGAUAAGAAAUUAAGGCUGCAAUCUAAGAAUAGAAUCAAAUGUGCAUCUACUAAAGGAUAAGAAAUUAAGGCUGCAAUCUAAUAAUACUUUUAUUUGCCAUUCUGAAUUUCUAUCACAACACAGAGGAAUGAGGAAUGGAUACAGGAGGCAUGGCGUAAGCGUAGGGGUCAGCCAGGGCACAAUGCAGGAGUUUGCCCAUAUCCUCUCAAAGACCUACUAUGAUGCAUAUUUGAAAGAGUGCAUCUAUCGUUUCAGCUGAAAAUUGAUCUCUAUUUGAAGGAGUGCAUCUAUUGUGCAUCUACGCCAGAAGACAGUGUGCUGUUUUUUAUUCCAUGCUCCAAAUAUUUCAUGUCCGAUUCAUAGACAUCCUUGAAUUGCUUAAUGAUGAUGGCAUGUUUGGUGUUCAUAUUUUUGUCAGCCAAAUAAUAAUAGGUGCACUUGAUUGUUUGAGGAAAUGCCAACUGAAAGCUAAAUUCAGUUAGAAUUAGAUUUUUGCACGUGUGUUCUUGAUGCUUCAUGUACGACCAGUUCUCUCGAAUAAUGAGUUACUCCCUCAAUUUUACAAUAGAGAUAAUUUGUCAAAAUUGUGUUUUUGUGAACAUGCAUAGGGCCUCUCAGUCUUUAACCCUGACUAUAAAAAUCCAUUGAUGGAAGCUGGGGAGGGCUGAGAUGAACAUCCGGCUCCCUGGGUCUAAGCCAUCGAGAUGGUAGAGAUGACGUUUCCAUGUCAUCAACUCCAGCAGCCGGACAAGGCAUAUAAAAACCAUGGAUCCUUGCUCCCCAGGCCGCAAAAUGAUCACAGUGAUGUCAUGAUCAAAGUGAUGUCUACGACCUCCUCCUAGAUGUAUUAAUCUCAACCUCAUGUUUGGUUUUCUUCCCUUUUCUCUUCUAAUGAUGUAAUUUCUUUUACUAAGAUAACACCAUGUUUGUUGUAAUGCCUUAUUUGAUGUAAGAUCCCUUUUCUACUUCGAAUGAAUUUACUGCAUAUAUUUCUUAUUUAGUUUAGUUCAUCAUUCAGAGAGGAUGGAAUAUUUUUGUCCUUCAUAGGUUAAAUGAGCAUUGUGUAGUCCUUCACAGGUUAAAUGAGCAUUGCGUAAAAGUAUGUCUAAGUUCUCUUUCUUCAAAUGCUUCAAGUAAAUGAAAUUGUUUAUUUUGAA